GACGAACGCUGGCGGCGUGCUUAACACAUGCAAGUCGAGCGGAAAGGCCUUUCGGGGUACUCGAGCGGCGAACGGGUGAGUAACACGUGAGUAACCUGCCCCUGGCUCUGGGAUAACUGUCGGAAACGAUGGCUAAUACCGGAUAUUCACGCUUCAUCGCAUGGUGGGGUGUGGAAAGUUUUUUCGGCUGGGGAUGGGCUCGCGGCCUAUCAGCUUGUUGGUGGGGUGAUGGCCUACCAAGGCGGUGACGGGUAGCCGGCCUGAGAGGGCGACCGGCCACACUGGGACUGAGACACGGCCCAGACUCCUACGGGAGGCAGCAGUGGGGAAUAUUGCACAAUGGGCGAAAGCCUGAUGCAGCGACGCCGUGUGAGGGAUGACGGCUUUCGGGUUGUAAACCUCUUUCAGCAGGGACGAAGCGGAAGUGACGGUACCUGCAGAAGAAGCGCCGGCCAACUACGUGCCAGCCGCCGCCGUAA
rnacentral:rRNA from 1 species